UCCAUGUGUAGCGGUGAAAUGCGUAGAUAUAUGGAGGAACACCGGUGGCGAAAGCGGCUCUCUGGUCUGUAACUGACGCUGAGGCUCGAAAGCGUGGGGAGCGAACAGGAUUAGAUACCCUGGUAGUNCACGCCGUAAACGAUGAGUGCUAGGUGUUAGGCCCUUUCCGGGGCUUAGUGCCGCAGCUAACGCAUUAAGCACUCCGCCUGGGGAGUACGACCGCAAGGUUGAAACUCAAAGGAAUUGACGGGGGCCCGCACAAGCGGUGGAGCAUGUGGUUUAAUUCGAAGCAACGCGAAGAACCUUACCAGGUCUUGACAUCCCGAUGCCCGCUCUAGAGAUAGAGUUUUACUUCGGUACAUCGGUGACAGGUGGUGCAUGGUUGUCGUCAGCUCGUGUCGUGAGAUGUUGGGUUAAGUCCCGCAACGAGCGCAACCCUUAUUGUUAGUUGCCAUCAUUCAGUUGGGCACUCUAGCGAGACUGCCGGUAAUAAACCGGAGGAAGGUGGGGAUGACGUCAAAUCAUCAUGCCCCUUAUGACCUGGGCUACACACGUGCUACAAUGGCUGGUACAACGAGUCGCAAGUCGGUGACGGCAAGCUAAUCUCUUAAAGCCAGUCUCAGUUCGGAUUGUAGGCUGCAACUCGCCUACAUGAAGUCGGAAUCGCUAGUAAUCGCGGAUCAGCACGCCGCGGUGAAUACGUUCCCGGGCCUUGUACACACCGCCCGUCACACCACGAGAGUUUGUAACACCCGAAGUCGGUGAGGUANCCUUUUAGGAGCCA
rnacentral:rRNA from 1 species